rnacentral:pre_miRNA from 1 species
UGUUAAAAAAUUCAUGCAUUUCUAUUGUUAAAAAUUGGUGUGACUAAUAGAAUAACCAAACGGUGACAAAUUCCGUGCCAUAUGUACCUAAUGCUGAUGUAUAGAGACCAAUUUUUAUUGAUGAAAUUUUUAACA